rnacentral:rRNA from 1 species
UACGUAGGGUGCGAGCGUUGUCCGGAAUUAUUGGGCGUAAAGAGCUCGUAGGCGGCUUGUCGCGUCGGAUGUGAAAGCCCGGGGCUUAACUCCGGGUCUGCAUUCGAUACGGGCAGGCUAGAGUUCGGUAGGGGAGAUCGGAAUUCCUGGUGUAGUGGUGAAAUGCGUAGAGAUCAGGAGGAACACCGGUGGCGAAGGCGGCCCACUGGGCUGUCACUGACGCUGAGGCGCGAAAGCUCGGGGAGCGAACGGG